GAUACCCCUGUAGUCCUGACCGUAAACGAUGAACACUAGGUGUCGGGGGAAUCGACCCCCUCGGUGUCGUAGCCAACGCGUUAAGUGUUCCGCCUGGGGAGUACGCACGCAAGUGUGAAACUCAAAGGAAUUGACGGGGGCCCGCACAAGCGGUGGAGUAUGUGGUUUAAUUCGAUGCAACGCGAAGAACCUUACCAGGGUUUGACAUCCUGCGAAUCCCUUGGAAACUUGGGAGUGCCUUCGGGAGCGCAGUGACAGGUGGUGCAUGGCUGUCGUCAGCUCGUGUCGUGAGAUGUUGGGUUAAGUCCCGCAACGAGCGCAACCCACGUCUUUAGUUGCCAGCAUUUAGUUGGGCACUCUAGAGAGACUGCCGGUGAUAAACCGGAGGAAGGUGUGGAUGACGUCAAGUCAUCAUGCCCCUUACAUCCUGGGCUACACACGUACUACAAUGCUACGGACAAAGGGCAGCAAACUCGCGAGAGCUAGCAAAUCCCAUAAACCGUGGCUCAGUUCAGAUCGUAGGCUGCAACUCGCCUACGUGAAGGAGGAAUCGCUAGUAAUCGCAGGUCAGCAUACUGCGGUGAAUACGUUCCCGGGCCUUGUACACACCGCCCGUCACACCAUGGAAGUUGGCCACGCCCGAAGUCGUUACUCCAACCCUUGUGGAGGAGGAUGCCGAAGGUGGGGCUGAUGACUGGGGUGAAGUCGUAACAAGGUAGCCGUACCGGAAGGUGC
rnacentral:rRNA from 1 species